rnacentral:rRNA from 1 species
GACGAACGCUGGCGGCGUGCCUAAUACAUGCAAGUAGGACGCUGAAGAGAGGAGCUUGCUCUUCUUGGAUGAGUUGCGAACGGGUGAGUAACGCGUAGGUAACCUGCCUUGUAGCGGGGGAUAACUAUUGGAAACGAUAGCUAAUACCGCAUAACAAUGGAUGACACAUGUCAUUUAUUUGAAAGGGGCAAUUGCUCCACUACAAGAUGGACCUGCGUUGUAUUAGCUAGUAGGUGAGGUAACGGCUCACCUAGGCGACGAUACAUAGCCGACCUGAGAGGGUGAUCGGCCACACUGGGACUGAGACACGGCCCAGACUCCUACGGGAGGCAGCAGUAGGGAAUCUUCGGCAAUGGGGGCAACCCUGACCGAGCAACGCCGCGUGAGUGAAGAAGGUUUUCGGAUCGUAAAGCUCUGUUGUAAGUCAAGAACGAGUGUGAGAGUGGAAAGUUCACACUGUGACGGUAGCUUACCAGAAAGGGACGGCUAACUACGUG